rnacentral:rRNA from 1 species
UACGAAGGGGGCUAGCGUUGCUCGGAAUCACUGGGCGUAAAGCGCGCGUAGGCGGAUCGUUAAGUCGGGGGUGAAAUCCUGGAGCUCAACUCCAGAACUGCCUUUGAUACUGGGGAUCUCGAGUCCGGAAGAGGUUGGUGGAACUGCGAGUGUAGAGGUGAAAUUCGUAGAUAUUCGCAAGAACACCAGUGGCGAAGGCGGCCAACUGGUCCGGUACUGACGCUGAGGUGCGAAAGCGUGGGGAGCAAACAGG